rnacentral:rRNA from 1 species
GUGAGCCUUGCCUGAAUUCAUAGGGCAAGGCGGCAAACCCGGGGAAGUGAAACAUCUCAGUACCCGGAGGAAAAGAAAUCAAACGAGAUUCCCCAAGUAGUGGCGAGCGAAAAGGGAAGAGCCCAAACCACCGGUAUGCAAGGUCAAAGCCGUUGUACCGGCGGGGUUGUUGGAGAUAAGGCGGCGUAACUUUGAGUGCGCCCGGUACGAGCACCCGUUAGGCGAGUGGCCUGGAAAGGCCAACCAGAGAGGGUGACAGUCCCGUAGACGAAAACGGGGUGCAAGACCGACUUAUGAUCCAGAGUACCACCGGGCCCGAGAAACCCGGUGGGUAAGCAGGGAAGACCACUUUCCAAGG